AGAAUCAACGCUGGCGGCGUGCCUAACACAUGCAAGUCGAACGAGAAAGUGGAGCAAUCCAUGAGUAAAGUGGCGCACGGGUGAGUAACACGUGACUAACCUACCCUUGAGUGGGGGAUAACCUAGAGAAAUCUGGGCUAAUACCGCAUAAUACCUUCGGGUCAAAGGGGCAAUUCGCUUAAGGAGGGGGUCGCGGCCGAUUAGUUAGUUGGCGGGGUAAUGGCCCACCAAGACUAUGAUCGGUA
rnacentral:rRNA from 1 species